rnacentral:rRNA from 1 species
GAAGUAAAAGUCGUAACAAGGUUUCCGUAGGUGAACCUGCGGAAGGAUCAUUACCGAGUGAGGGCCCUUUGGGUCCAACCUCCCACCCGUGUUUAUUUUACCUUGUUGCUUCGGCGGGCCCGCCUUUACUGGCCGCCGGGGGGCUCACGCCCCCGGGCCCGCGCCCGCCGAAGACACCCCCGAACUCUGUCUGAAGAUUGAAGUCUGAGUGAAAAUAUAAAUUAUUUAAAACUUUCAACAACGGAUCUCUUGGUUCCGGCAUCGAUGAAGAACGCAGCGAAAUGCGAUACGUAAUGUGAAUUGCAAAUUCAGUGAAUCAUCGAGUCUUUGAACGCACAUUGCGCCCCCUGGUAUUCCGGGGGGCAUGCCUGUCCGAGCGUCAUUGCUGCCCUCAAGCCCGGCUUGUGUGUUGGGCCCCGUCCUCCGAUUCCGGGGGACGGGCCCGAAAGGCAGCGGCGGCACCGCGUCCGGUCCUCGAGCGUAUGGGGCUUUGUCACCCGCUCUGUAGGCCCGGCCGGCGCUUGCCGAUCAACCCAAAUUUUUAUCCAGGUUGACCUCGGAUCAGGUAG